AGGGUGACACAAUAAAAGGGACACACUGGGCACAGCACCACCACCCCAACAAGUUCCUCUUGUUCCCCCUAAGGAGCCAAACAGGAAUUGUUGCCACAGGUCACCAGGUCAACGAGCUACAGGAAAGGUUUGCUUAGAAGGAGUUUAGGUGCGACUUCUUUAAAUUUGCUGAAAUUGUUGUAGUAAUGAUUUCAGGCCGCGAGUUGACAAAGGACCUUGGCUCUGCGGCGGCGCCCCUCCCGCCCCGUGGACCACCUGACCCCUCGGCACCCAUUCCGGCCCGGGCUCCCCACCUCCUCCUCCGCCCUCCGCGCCCUGGACACACAGGGAUCGGACGCUCCCCGGGGUGCCGCGAGGGGCAGCGCUGGAUUCUGGUUGCAGAUCACAGGCUGCUCUGGGAAUCUAACAAGAAUGCAGGAGCCUCCUCCUGGCAGCUGUGGAGAAAUGUCAGGGGCCGACUAGACAGAAGGCAUGCCGUUUUGAAACAGCUUUCAACAGUCACUAGCUUUGACUUACACUUCUGGCCAAGUCAGUCACCAGGACCCAUUUCCAUCCCGCCUCCUGUCUGAAACAACCAAAACAAACUCAAAACAUGUGAGACAAUUGUUUUCAUGACCCUGGACAUCAGGCCGUGGAAGACACUAAUCCCCGAGAGACAGAAAAAUGAGGUUGAGCCCAUGUCUGGGCCAAGUCACUACCUUGAGGGACUGCCCAGACCACAGAGCAGGAAGGGGACCCGGAUGGAGCCCAGCAGAAUCCUUGAGCUGACAGCAUAGUGGCUGGAGUUGGACAACUGAGAAUAGAGGACCCAGAGGUCCUGCUCUAGCAUCGCGCCAAACGCUGGUCAACACAGGUGUACAGAUGCCGCUCAACGUGGGAAAGGGUUAGAGGGACCUGCGCAACCCCGGCACAGCUGAAAAGAGUGCUGACAGGGGCAGGAGAACAGUUGUUAACUGCAUUCUGUAUGUCUAAAAGGUUAUGUAGGGGCCUGGAGUAAAGCACAUGCUUAGCAUGUGUGAGGCUUUGUGGGUUCAAUCCCCAGCAUCCCCCACCCAUGAAGGACAUGGGAGAUGUAUUAAUUAGCUGUCCUGUUGCUGAACCAAUAUUCUACACUUGCAAUUUAAAGGAGGAGAGGUUUAAUUUAGCCUAUGGUUUGGGAGAUUCAGUCCAUGGUCCGCUGGCUCCAAAGCUGGAACAUCAUUGUGGAAGGGUAUGGCGGAGCAAAGCUGCUCAAUUCAUGGUGGUUGGGAAGCAGAGCCAGGGAACAGCACUGGAGAGGAACAGGGGGGCACUAUGUAUGGUGCCCAUGGCCACACCUCCAUGACCCACCCAGGCACACCUAGGAGCUGUUCUAUCCUGCUGGUGUUUCUUCUUCUUCUUUUUUUUUUUGGUACUGGGGAUCGAAUUCCAGACCUUGCACUUGUGAGGCAGGCAGCAGAACCACUGAGAGCUAAAUCCCCGGCCCACUGCUGGUGUUUCUUAAUCUGAUGAUGCUGAUGUUUCAGGAUGAGAUCACUGAAGACAUUACAAAGUUCAAGUUGAACUUCUAGAGAUGAAAACAAUGCCUGGGGUGGGUGUGGUGGCACAUCCCAGUGCUCAGGAGGCUGAGACAGGAGGAUUGCUGUGAGUUCUAGGCCAGCCUGGGCUACAAAGUGAGUUCAAGGCCUGCCUGAACUACACAGUGAGACCCUGUCUCAAAGAUAAAUAAAUAAAUAAAAUGAAAAGAACAUCAAUGAUUUGGAAUUGGCUAUGCUGGUUACUGAGAAGAACCUGUCUGUGAGUUACAGGACAGGGCUAAUCAGCCAUGCAUUUACAUGAUCCUUUUGAGACUGCAGACACACCGGGAUGGGGGUUUCUGGGGAUGUCCAAUGAUUCCCAGAAGUCCCCAGUCAUUGUCCUGGGCCUGUGGUCAACUGGAUGUCUCGAGAGGCAGAGCCCACCUGGCUGAGACCCCAUGCAGACAGAGACAUCCUUUCCUGGGACAGAAGCAUCCCUGGCUGUGCAGAUCCCAGAGCUGGGACAGCAGAACUGAGAUGAUGUUCAGAGACCCCAGCCACCAGCCAGGCCUUUACAGAUGGCCGGUCUGCAUCCCUGCAUCAGCGUACCACCUCCAGCCACCUGAGUGGAAGCAUUUCCUGUCUUCCUCUAACUUUCCAGUGCAAGUUUUCUUCCUGCAAAAGUGUGCUUUGGUUUUAAUCUCCCGAUCUCCUAAAUCAAGGACUCAAAGCAGCCAAGGACAACCCUACCCUACUUCACAGAUCUUGUUAUGCACUGAACUGCACCCCAAGGCUCCUGUGCUGAUCCCAGUGUGCCUGCUUGGCGAUGAAUGAUGCUAAAUCAGGUCAUAAGGGUGGGGCCCUAUCCACUGAAAUCUCAGCACCGAAUUGGCUGGCGCCUGGGUUGUGGCCAUCCCAUCUCCAGAUCUGCAAGAGAUCAAUGUCAGUGUGCACCCGCCCGGCUCUGCUGAUUUGUCUCAGCAUCUGACCUAAGAUAGAUCUCACCCUAGUUUAGCUGAGCGCAUUGCAGUGACCCCAUAAAGCCACAAAGGGUCACCCCCCAAGGUGGGGCUCUGGGGAAACAGGCUGGCAGUUCUGGGAAGGCACUGGAUUGCACAACUUGGACCUGGUGUGCAGCCAGACCAGGAGCCGGCCUUCUCACAACCUCUCUGUCCUCGCCAGCUAUGAACCACAAACUUCAUCCUGUCCACACAACAGGCAAGCAUUAAGUAUGAAAAGGACCAGGCGCAGUGGUACAUGCCUGUUAUCUCAGCACUCUGGGAGGCUGAGGCAGGAGGAUCACAGGUUCAAGCCCAGCCAGGGCAACUUAGAGUUAGCAAGACUCUGUCUCAAAAAAUGAAGAAAGGUCUCACAUUCUUCCUGGGGGACCCCACACCCAGUGUGGCAUCUGUGCCCCUCAGGCUCAACUCCUAAGGAUGCGUCUUUGGAAGAAAAUUAGGUUGCGUGAUGCAUCAUGGACAGACAGGGGGCACGUGAAGGCAUCUGUCACCACCCGGCAAGCUCACCAAGGUCAUGGACAAGUCCCCUGGCCAGUGUGCAAAGCACUGUUGUCAGGUGGCAUGGAGUGCAUCAGACGGAGGCAGAGGCACAACAGGAACCAACUGAAGUCAUGUUUUGUUGUUGUUGUUGUUGUUUUGUGGUACUGGGGAUCAAACUCAGGACCUUUCACUUUCAAGGCAGGUGCAGCACCACUGAGCUAAAUCCCUGGCCCUGAAGUCAUGGUUUUGUAAUGGUUUUUGAUUAUCAUGUUGCUCAGCUGCAAAGAGCAGAACACCCAAGAGUGGCAAAAUAAACUUGGGCUCAUUUCUCUACCAUAACAAGACAAGUGGCCACUGAUGCUGUUUUAGCAGCUCCAGGAGCAUGGAGCUUGCAUCUCCCUGCUUGCUUGCCUUUAACCUCAUGAUUACAAGAAGGUUGCCUGAACUCCUGGCAUCACACCUACAUUCAAAACAGGAAGACAGAGGAAGUUUCCUUCACCUCCUUUGACACCCCCUAGCCUGACAGUCCUACACAAUCCAGUUACUGGAUGGAGGGUCUUGUGGGCUUCUUUCUAGGUUCUUGGUGUCCUGAGCAAAGAAUUGUGCAAGACACAUGGAAAAGGCAGUGAAAAUGUACUUUUAUUGAAGGUGGAAAAGAGGUAAGCUCUGUAGGGUAAGAAUGGGCUGGUGAAAAGGCUCACAGUGGCCAGAGGAUAAGGGAAAGGGGGCUUUUAUAUUCAAAGUUCCUGGGCUGGCAUUGGGACAAUCUUCCUGCCAAAAACUCACUUGACCUGGUGCUAGAUGUAGUUAAAGCCCCCGUGGAAAGACUCAUUUGGUUUCAUGCCAUAUGUGAAUGAAGGAUCAGAAACAGCAGUUUUUGACUGGCUGUGCCCACAUGCAAAUAAGGAUUGAAUGGAGCAGCCUCUGAUUGGUCCUGAGAACAGCACCAGAUUCUGAUGAAGGAUUGAAAACAGCACUUUCCUGAUUGGUGGUCUCAGGUUGGGGGCAGGUCCCUUGUGGGGUCUCAAUCCUAAACCUUACUCAAGUGAGUCACCCAGUCUCGAAGCCAGGCAGAGCCUCUAUACUCCCCCACCUAAAAGUGCAGCCCCAGGUCCCAAGGCAGCUUGGAUAUGAAGCAGGGCAACCAUGGCAGUGCGUGUAUAUAUAUUUGUGUGUGUGUGUGUGUGUGUAUAUGUAUAUUUAUUUAUUUAUUUAUUUAUUUAUUUAUUUAUUUAUUUAUUUAUUUUGGUACCAGAGAUGGAACUUGGGACCUUGGGCUUUGAGGCAGGUGGCAGAAUCACUGAGCUAAAUCCCGGCUGGCCCGGCAGGUCUCUACUAGCACUGCCUAGCCUGCCACACACUCCCACAACCUGCUCCAGGGAGCACCUCCACCCCCACCAGGGUCAGAAAGAGAGGCUGCAGCUGCCUCUGUCCCAUUGCUUCAGACAGACAGCAGGGAAGCCCAGAAGCUGUUUAUAAACCUUCAGGGAGGAGGAGGCUUCCCUAGCAACCAGGUGUGGGGAAGGGCUGGGCCCAGGUGCCCCAGGCUCUGGGCUCGCAAGUGGCCUUGCUCAGUCUCCCUGGGAGUUCAGCUCUGCAAUCAAUGGAUUUGGUGGGAGCCACCAAGAUCAAUAAGAAGGUGACAAAUGACAGGGGAAGAGUUGUAGGGCAGGUGUCUGGGCAGUUGUCGGGCAGUAAGACCUGCAAGUUUCCCUAGGAAAAUCCAGAGUGGGUCUUCUGUAUCCAGACCACCUGCUAACAGCCCUGAGCAUCUCCCCGGAAGGGGAGCUCAAUUUUUAGGUUCAAUAGUCUGGAUUGUGGCACACAUCUGUAAUCCCAACAUAGGAGGCUGAGUGAGGCAAGAGGAUCGCUGCAAAUUCAAGGCCAGCCUGAACUACACAGUGAAAUCCUGUCUCAAAAAUAAAUAAAUAAUAAAUAAAUAAUAAAAUGUGUAUUCAGCAAUAUCCACAUAACAUAAAAUUCACUGUCUGCAUCAGGCACUGUGCGGGGGUACCAGGUACAUUCACACUGCUAUGUGACUGUCACCACCACCCAACUCCAGAAUUUGAUCUUCCCCAACUAAAACUCCAGAGUUUAGCUGGGUGUGGUGCCCCACGCCUGUAGUCCCAGAACUCAGGAGGCUGAGGUGGGAGGAUAGCUGGAAGUUCUAGGCCAGCCUUGGCUACAAAGUGAGUUCAAGUUCAGCCUGAACUACAUAUCAAGACCUUGUCUCAAAAAAAAAAAAAACAAAAACGAAACCAAAAAAAACCCUCUAGUUUGUUAUUUCUUUUUUUUUUUUUUUUUUGGUACCGGGGAUCAAAUUCAGGUCCUUGCACUUGCACAGCAGGUGGCGAAACCACUGAGCUAAAUCCCCGGCCCAUUCAUUUAUUUCUUUGCAGUGCCCGGGAUGGAACCCAGGGCCUUGCACAUACUAGGCAAGCACUCUACCACUGAGCUACACGUGAUUUUAAAAACUCAUUCAGCCAGGUAUAGUGGCCCAGGCCUGUAAUUCCAGCACUCAGGAGGCUGAGGCAGGAGGAUCUGUGUGAGUUUAAGGCCAGCCUGAACUACAUAGUGAGGCCCCAUCUCAAAAAACCAAUUAACAACAACAAUGAUAAAAAACAAAACAACAAAAACCCCUCUUUUUCAACAAGUUUUGAUUGAACAUCUCUGAUGGCUUCUUGAGGGGUCAACAAUACAACUGGGCAUAGUCCUCUUCUGAAGCAUCCUGCCCUGAGGGAUAAGGAAGCCAUAGCCUGAGGUCACAGCAGGAAAGGGGACAGGGGACCCCAGUAGCUGUGCACCUGGAGGUCCAGAAAUGGGAGGGAUGAACAGGCCUGGCUGUUGAGAAACAUCUGCCUGGGCUUAAAGGCCACGUAGUCCCUGGAGUCAGACUGGGCUGAUAAACAGCAUUUGUGGGUCCCCAAUGGGCAGAGUUCCGGCAGGGCACAGUGACUCAGGGCUAAGGACACAAGGACACAGCUUUUGAAAACUCCAGCUUUCCAAACCAGAGUGGAGACAGAAAUAUGUGAAACACGCAGCUCUAAGCCGCCCUCACCCUCGGUCCACUGACCCCCUGGAUGGACUUCAGAUAAAUUACAAGCCUGCCAUGAGCCCUGUGGUGAGAAUCUUGUUUUUCUUCUUUCAGACCAAAAGCAGAUUUCUGACAUUACUGCUGAGGAGGAGGAAGAGGAGGUCACCCAGGACCUCAAUGCCCAAAGCAUUAAAUCACCCGAUAAAGAGGUGCUGCUAUUCCUGGGAGCUGGGAAGAGAGCAGACUGUUGAUUCUCAUUUGGUUCCCGGAAAUUCAUUCCCAGGAUGGUAGUACUGUAUUAUUAUCCCACUAGACGCCCAGGGACACUAAGGCAUGGCACAAUGGCUUGACCAAGUCACAUCUGGUGUUAGUCCUGAAUCCGAUUAACCUCUAAGCGCCAUGCCCCUCCCCGCUUCUCCUCCCAGGCACUGGGUCACUCACUACUAACAACCAAGCCUCACGUAGCAACUCUGCAUGGGUGACAAUGCCUUUACAAGUGGGUACAGCAGGUGUGGUUGCACUUGUGUCAGGAAGAAGGGUCUGAGUCUUGCAAGGGUUUUCGUUAGCACCACAUUUGUGCCACAUAUCCUGCUGCGUGUGAAUGUCCUGUGCAAUAUAGAAACACAGGGCCCUGCCAGGCCUGGGUUGGAACCUUGCCUGUGUCUAGUUCACAUUUGUACAGUGACAAUAAUAAGUGUGUCACAAUCAUGGUGUCCAUUAUGGUUCAUUUCUAGACGUUCCCCAGGAGCCUCAUGCGCUCAUAGGUGGGGCUUUCGGAAGGUGAAUGGAUAUGGGGGCUUACAGCUGAUCGCUGGUAGGAGGUGGGCUCUGGUUGGAAGGGUCAGGUUGGUGCGGACCUGGCCUGGAAGGGUGCAUCUCCCUCCCUGGCUCCCUCCUUCACCGUCUGCGUCCUGUCUACCAUGCUGUGAGCAGCUCUCCUCUGCCAGGCUCCUCUGAGGUGCCGUUCUGCCUUGGAGCUGGCUAACCAUGGACUGAAAUGUGAGCUAAAAUAAAGCUUUCCUUAUUUUGUUCUAGCAAUGAGGAAAGUGACUAGGGUAGUGUCACUACAUAACAUACUAAGUAUCAUCACAUGGAUUCCAUCCAUGAGCCUGGAAUAAAGUCAACGCUCAGUAAAUGUCCCAUUGUGUCAUCCUUGACGUCAACUGUGGGGAAAGGAUUGUGACACCCUGAGGCCCAGGCCAGCUGGAUGCUGCUCGCCUUGGAGGCCAGAGGGGUUGGUCAGCUGAUUGGACAGCUGUCACUCGGGAGACUGACUGACUCUUUUAAGGUACUGUGGGUAUUGUGGGUAUUGUGGAUAUUUAAAAGGUACUGAGGUUAUAGACGAGGGUCCUUAGCUGCAGUUUUUCCUAAAAGUACAAUUUUAAAAUCUCGAUUUCCUUGUCACCUUUUUACCUUCUUUUUAUUCUACUUCAUUUCCAAUCGGCCCCCUUCACCUACUCAAAACCCUCGCCACGUCUCCCAUCACAUGAUCUAUGUGGUGUCUCCGGAAAUCCUACAUGGAAAAUUGGACCAAAGCAGGGAGAUACAGCUUCCCUAGGGAGGCGGGAAGGCUGGAAGACAAGGAACGGAGCCUCUCUGGGGAUGGUGGUUCCCUUGGACACAUAGUUUAAUGAAUGAGCCGGGGUGCGAGGGCUGAAGAUGUAGGUCUGCGUUUGAUUCCCAGCCCGGGUGGGGUGUGGGGCGGGGGAUCCCGUCUGGGUUAGAAAGCUGAACCCGGAGCCUUGACUCAGGCACAAGGCUAUGGGCGAUCUGACUCCUCAUCCAGCCGGGCUUUGGUCUGGUGCACGGAGCAGACGCCUCCAGGGUCCCCACGUUCACAGACCUCACUCAGGAGUCCAGGGCCGAAGUUCUCUUCAGAAGCCCUGCGG
ensembl:lncRNA